rnacentral:rRNA from 1 species
GAUGAACGCUGGCGGCGUGCCUAAUACAUGCAAGUCGAGCGAACGGACGAGAAGCUUGCUUCUCUGAUGUUAGCGGCGGACGGGUGAGUAACACGUGGAUAACCUACCUAUAAGACUGGGAUAACUUCGGGAAACCGGAGCUAAUACCGGAUGAUAUUUUGAACCGCAUGGUUCAAAAGUGAAAGACGGUCUUGCUGUCACUUAUAGAUGGAUCCGCGCUGCAUUAGCUAGUUGGUAAGGUAACGGCUUACCAAGGCAACGAUGCAUAGCCGACCUGAGAGGGUGAUCGGCCACACUGGAACUGAGACACGGUCCAGACUCCUACGGGAGGCAGCAGUAGGGAAUCUUCCACAAUGGGCGAAAGCCUGACGGAGCAACGCCGCGUGAGUGAUGAAGGCCUUCGGAUCGUAAAACUCUGUUAUUAGGGAAGAACAUAUGUGUAAGUAACUGUGCACAUCUUGACGGUACCUAAUCAGAAAGCCACGGAUAACUACGUG